rnacentral:tRNA from 1 species
GGCUCGGUAGCUUAGCUGGCAAAGUACUUGUCUAGUGUAUAAGAGUCGUGAGUUCAAAUCUUACCUGAGCUA